rnacentral:rRNA from 1 species
UACGUAGGGUCCAAGCGUUAAUCGGAAUUACUGGGCGUAAAGCGUGCGCAGGCGGUUCGUUAAGUCAGCUGUGAAAGCCCCGGGCUCAACCUGGGAAUGGCGAUGGAUACUGGCUCGCUAGAGUGCGGUAGAGGAGAGUGGAAUUCCCGGUGUAGCAGUGAAAUGCGUAGAGAUCGGGAGGAACACCAGUGGCGAAGGCGGCUCACUGGCCCGGUACU